GAUAAAAUAUACAAUGACAGAUUCUGAACUUGCUAGGGCAGAAACUUCUACCGAGCUAUCGCUAUGAAGUAAGCUCGAUGGUCCCUUGCGCGGGAGCUCAGUGCAUAAACUACCGAAUACAGGCACUGUCCGAGUUAAGGCAUACCUGCGUGAAAAUGCAGCCGCAACCACAUUUUUCUUACCUUGUUUGUAGCGAAUGACAUAGGGAAAAGAUCUCAAUGAACUCAACCAAUCGAGCAUGCCUCUUGUUCAAACGUGUGUUGGCUUUCAAAUGUUUCAAGGAUCAUGAUCAGUACGAAUCACAAACUGCCUUGGCCUAGUAGUUUUUUUUGGGGGGGGUUGCCAAGUCCCAAAACUCGAACCAAUGCAUACAAUUCUUUGUCAUAAGUGGGGGGUAGUUAAGUGCAGCCCCGCUUAGCUUCUGCUAAAAUACGCAAGUGGUCUCCCCUCCUGCAUAAGAAAAACACCUAUACCCACACAAGAAACAUCACAUUCUUUAAUUUAAAUAUUUUAGAAAAAUUAGGUAAAGCAAGUAAAGGAGCAUGAGUAGCUUAUAUUUAAUAAGAUGAAACGCUUUAUAUUGUUCUUCACCCUAUUUGAAAAUAACAUUCUUCUGUGUAACUUCGGUAGGCAAGAAAAUCAAGCUGGUAGCGUUUAUUCCUUGUUACAUGAGUACAAUCAUUGGCCGCUUGGAAAUUAAUGCUCUCUUAACCUCACUUGUUUUUGCUGAUUUUUUUUUGUUUUCUCUCUAAAGCCUCACUAUUCUUGUUUCACUCGUCAUUCUUUUGUUCUCUCAAUUCUUUUGAUCACUCAAAUUUUUGUUAACCUCACUUGCCCUCAUAUACUUAUUUUGGUUGUCAUCAGAACUAGAGGCGGGUUUUUGAUUGACAUGAACUGUAUUGGGGGGGUGUGGUAAAACCAUAUGCUGUACACGCCAAUCAAUGCCAUGGUCUUCCUAGAGAAGAUGCCCAAUUGCAGUGGUACCGACGUUGCACACACCUUGUUUUCAUAUUUACCAAUUCGAAUGGUACAACAACUUGCUUUGUACCCUCACUUCACCACUAUUAUUUACCCUUGCAAUGUAUAUUGGCGAGGGUGGCUUAAGUGUCGUAAGCCCUAGUUUUUCAACCAUGAAGUCUCUAGCGACAUUAGUGGCAUCACCACUAUCCCAAUAACACUACAUAUCUUUCUUUCCGUUACAACGGUGGUGAAAAAAUGCUCUCCUCUGUACUUCUUUUCCUCUUUAACUUGCAAGCUUAAGGCUCGUCCGCGACUACCUAAGCAAUCUCGCCAUGAUCAACCCCAACUCCUCAUCUCCCAUAAGAGAUUCCUCCAAGGUGGCUCUCAGCACAAUCAAGGCUCAUCCUCGGAUACAAAUUCACCAUUCUCCUGAUCACCAUAACUCGCUUUUUUGGGUUUUUGGACAUUGGCUAGCUAUGUGUCCUCUUCCCUGACAUUUGAAGCAUUUAAUCCACUUAGAAUGAAGUCGAGGUAGAGGCGGGUUUGCCUUGAGAGGCGGUGGUUGGUGGUGCAUUUUUUGGGCUUAGAUUUGACAUUAGAAGUGAGGUUUUCUUCUUUCUUUGGUAUUCGACCUCCAGGUUCUGAACUAAAAGUUUGUGUGACUGAUUUUGGCCGUGUACCACCCUUCUUGAGUUGCCUCUCUACCUUUGAUUGCCAUAUGCACCAAAUCUUUCAAUUUCACAUAUGGUGUAUCUCGAUCGUGUUAGCAUCGCUCUGAUCAAAACCAUUCAAACAUCUAGCCAUGUGCCUCCCAUCCUCCUCCACAUUGGCUCUAAUCAUAACCAUCCUCCAUCUCUUUAUAACUCGUCACGCUCUGGUACCUUAGAUGAGGCCUGCACUUAAGUAGAGAUCCCGGUAGUAGUGACUUGGUACAAAUCGUCGUCUCAGGACUCUCUUCAUCUCAUUCCAAGUUCAAUAGGACGUUCUCAUUCCACCUCCUAUUGGAUGACCAAAACUUGAUCCCACACACAAUAGCAUAGUCAGUUAAAAUUCGGAUUGCGGCAAGCUGUUCUACCUUCUUAAUUCUGAGUAAUUGUGACAACAAAAAUCAACUCCAUCUUAUUUCCCAAUGAGGUAUGCUCGAGAUCACUUUUCCUUGAAAAGCAGGAAUCUUUAUCUGAUACUUCCUAGGUUGUGAUCAAACCACGGUGUCUAGCUCCUCAUCCCUGCCAUAUAUCCGUAGCUGCCCACUGAACAUCCUAUCUAUUCCUCCUCUAUACGUCCCUUCAAACUCAUCCAAAUAUUCCAAUUCUCUUUGGUGACAAUCUACCUCCUAUGGGACAUUUGGAGCAAAGUGGUGGCUGCACCGUUGUGUUCCCUCUUCUGCCCAUAUCCAACCUCUCGUGUAUAUGCUCUAACUCUGCAUCAUCAUCCGUCUAAUCUCCCCAUUAUGCUUGUAUUUGUUAGAUUCGGAACACUGUGGGGGAGUUCUUCGCGUGUGAUUUUCUCUUGAUUUCGAGACAUGAUUGAGAUCUGCAACAAGGGUUAGAUAAUAGGGAAAGACCUCACUACACUCCCUUACGUUUUCACUCGAAAGGAUGAUACACCUCGAUUUCUCUCUAGUAUUUUGCCUCAAUUAAUUUUUGACUUUACCUCUUAUAUUCUCACACACCGCCUUUUUCCACUCAUAUUAUUCUUUUAGUCCUUUAAUGCUUAACUACUAACAAAAAGGAUUCAAGUAGCCAAUCAAGAUAAGAAUAAACCAAACGAAUCAGAUUUCCUUUAAGCAAUUCUUUUUCGACUUUUUUUUUGACUCUAACGUGAUGCAAACGAAUUCAAGAGUCAUCCAAUACAGAAUCCAAAAACUAAACCGAAAUCUUAAUCAAGAACGAAGAAAGGGAGCAAUCAAAACAUUUUUUUUACUCUAGCUUGAUGCUGGUCGAAUCAAAGAAUAACCCAAAACAAAAAACCAAACUAAUUGAAACGAAAUUCUCAAUCAAGAACGAAGAUAAGGGAGCAAUCUAACCAAUUUUUUUACUCUAACUUGAUGCAGUUGAUCAAAGACAAUCCGAAACGAGAACCCAAAACAAAUUGAAACCCGAAAUCUCAAUCAAGAACGAGAUAAGGAAGCAAUCUAACCAAUUUUUUUUUUUGAAUCUGGCCAUAUAAAGACUCGAUUUAACAAGAAAAAUCAGAAGAAUGGGCAUGUCAAGAAGAAAAAAAAAUUGAUAGACAAACUGAGGAAUGUAGGGAUCUGAUACCAACUGAUACGAACCACGCACAACGUGACGAAACUCGAUACCAAUCUUAAACAACAAAACCCAAAACUCUUCAAGUUUGAUGGAAAACGCGGGACUGUUGCUUAGCCCAAAGCAAGAACCUUGGUAUGAUGAAGACGCCACAACGGAAUGGAUGAUCUGUUUGAUAAGUCAGGUUUGAACGCCACAAGGAAUCCUGAUAAGUUCAGCUUAGUUUCUGAAAGAGUUCAAGAAGAAAUAAACGCCCAAUCUCUCUAUUUUUACGUGAUUUUCGAAAUUGAUAGCAUACCCUUGUUAUAGCCUUACAAGAUAAAAAAAUCUAAUUUAUCUUAUCUCAACUUAUCUUAAUAAAAGAAAUUUCUAGUUCAAAUUAAGGUUGUCUUUGGAGAUAAGUCAAAUCUGAUCUUAUCUCCAAUCUAAUGAUAAUCCUAAUCAAAAUCUACAUCGAAGAAAUACAAAGAAGUUAAAUCCUAAUCUGAUAUUUAAACUUUUCUGAAUUUGAAAAUUCUGGACUUUGUAAACAAUCAUGCUUGAUUCUUUGCUAGUAAAAAAAACAAAAAGAAAAGGGAGAACACAUCCCUCCGUUAAACCAUGCCCCCGUCGUACAUACCACUACACCCCCAUAACCCCGCACCCAGCUAAACUUCAAUCUUCUUUUAUUCACUUCUCAGCAAACCCCCCCCCCACCUGAUCCCUCUUCCCAUUUCCCGUUCCCGACCCGAUCCCCCCACAUACAUUACGCAUUCCCCUCCUCUCCUCCCUCUCCUAGCCCCUCCUCACCGCCCCCCCUGCCCCCCCCUCCCACCCCCCAUCCCCCCCAUCCACCCCUCCAACCAAUCACCCUCUACAUCGCACCCCACUACGCAUCGCCCAUCAUCAGUCAUCCUGUUCUCAACUUCAUUCCUCUCCCUAUUACCUUUCACCACUCUUGCCCCCCCUCGCAUCCCCCCCUCCUCCCUUUCCCUUCUUUCACCUCUCCCGCCCCCCUUGACUCCCACUCUCUUCCCCCUCUCUCGACUCCCAGCUCAUCCCCCGCUCGUCACUCCCUACCGACCCUCUGUUGCCUUAUUAUUACCCCCAUCCAACGCUCCCUAUUCCCACCACCCCCGCCUCCCUUUCUACUAAACCACCACUUCCAUCCCCUACCCUCCUCCCACAUUCACCUCUAUCUUCCCCCCCAAAUUCCCCCUUGCACAUGUAAGCGGAGGGGUUCUCUCCCGAAUCGAAUUUGAGUAGUAAACCAAACUUUUUAACUCUCAGUAGUGAACAUACUUUCUUGUUGCUUGUACUCUCCGGACUAAAGUAUUCAGAUCUUCUUGAUCUCUUAGCUCGAGCUCUCGUCACCGGGACCAAUUGGAGCUUGAAUCGGACCAUGAGCUUGAUGUCCUCCAUCAAACCGCGCUAGAAUGUUGAAGGAGGCGCAAUAGAUAACCGCCGCCCGGAGGGAGUCAAGGGGACAAAAGAUAACUUGAGUAGAGUGUUUCUUUGACAUCCCCAUGCUCGAAUUGAGAAGAUAGCAACAUGAUGACAGACUAUCAGCUAGGCCCUAGGAGCACGGCUGGGUCAGUCGUCUACUCACUGACACAACAAUCGAUGCAUCUCGCAUCGAGCUGCAGUCUAUCUAGUGACAAAACAGUUAGCACGUCAAGGCUCUCGCUGAUCUAUGUCAUAUAAAGCCAAUCUUUAUUUUCCUAAAAGGUACGCGAAUUCAAUCUUUAGAAGCACCACACAACAAAUCUUUUACCUACGUUUUUCGUAUCGGACUUGGACCCCCUCGGGAGG
rnacentral:lncRNA from 1 species